CGAUGAAAGACGUGGUAAGCUGCGAUAAGCUUCGGGGAGUUGCUAAACAAACUGUGAUCCGGAGAUUUCUGAAUGGGGGAACCCGUCUUGAGUAAUGUUGAGACAUUUAUAACUGAAUACAUAGGUUAUAAAGGCAAACGAGGGGAACUGAAACAUCUUAGUACCCUCAGGAAAAGAAAACAAUAGUGAUUUUCAAAGUAGCGGCGAGCGAAAUGAAAAUAGCCCAAACCCAAUAUGUGUAAGCCCGAAAGCGUUGUAUAUUGGGGGUCGUGGGGUUUGAUGUUGCAUAGUUUCGGAUAUGCAAAAAGAGUUACAAAGUUGAUUUAUAACCGAAAAGUCUGGAAAGACUUACCAUAGAAUGUGAUAGUCAUUUAGGUGAAAUGAAUCAGCCUCUUUAUCAAAUUCCCAAGUAUUGCGGGACACGAGAAAUCCUGUGAGAAUUUGUGAGGACCAUCUCAUAAGGCUAAAUACUACCUGAUAACCGAUAGUGAACUAGUACCGUGAGGGAAAGGUGAAAAGCACCCCGA
rnacentral:rRNA from 1 species